rnacentral:rRNA from 3 species
GUUAAGUGACUAAGCGUACAAGGUGGAUGCCUUGGCAAUCAGAGGCGAAGAAGGACGUGCUAAUCUGCGAAAAGCUUGGAUGAGUCGAUAAGAGGCGUUUAAUCCAAGAUAUCCGAAUGGGGAAACCCAGUAGAUGAAGAAUCUACUAUCAACAAGUGAAUUCAUAGCUUGUUGAGGCAAACCGGGAGAACUGAAACAUCUAAGUACCCCGAGGAAAAGAAAUCAACCGAGAUUUCGUCAGUAGCGGCGAGCGAAAGCGAAAGAGCCAGUAAGUGAUAGCAAUAUAGUGAGGAGAAUGUGUUGGGAAGCACAAUCAAAGAGGGUGAUAAUCCCGUAUCUAAAAACCAUAUUGUGGUACUAAGCUAACGAGAAGUAGGGCGGGACACGUGAUAUCCUGUUUGAAGAAGGGGGGCCCAUCCUCCAAGGCUAAAUACUCCUGAUUGACCGAUAGUGAACCAGUACUGUGAAGGAAAGGCGAAAAGAACCCCGGUGAGGGGAGUGAAAUAGAACCUGAAACCUUGUACGUACAAGCAGUGGGAGCGAGGGCAACCUUGUGACUGCGUACCUUUUGUAUAAUGGGUCAGCGACUUAUAUUUUGUAGCGAGGUUAACCGAAUAGGGGAGCCGAAGGGAAACCGAGUCUUAACUGGGCGAAUAGUUGCAAGGUAUAGACCCGAAACCCGGUGAUCUAGCCAUGGGCAGGUUGAAGGUUGGGUAACACUAACUGGAGGACCGAACCGACUAAUGUUGAAAAAUUAGCGGAUGACUUGUGGCUGGGGGUGAAAGGCCAAUCAAACCGGGAGAUAGCUGGUUCUCCCCGAAAUCUAUUUAGGUAGAGCCUUGAGGUGACACCUUUGGGGGUAGAGCACUGUUUCGGCUAGGGGGCCAUCCCGGCUUACCAACCCGAUGCAAACUACGAAUACCAAAGAGUGAUACUCAGGAGACACACGGCGGGUGCUAACGUCCGUCGUGGAGAGGGAAACAACCCAGACCGCCAGCUAAGGUCCCCAAGUCUAUAUUAAGUGGGAAACGAAGUGGGAAGGCUUAGACAGCUAGGAUGUUGGCUUAGAAGCAGCCAUCAUUUAAAGAAAGCGUAAUAGCUCACUAGUCGAGUCGGCCUGCGCGGAAGAUGUAACGGGGCUGAAAUAUAGCACCGAAGCUGCGGCAUCAGAAUUUAUUCUGUUGGGUAGGGGAGCGUUGUGUAAGCGGAAGAAGGUUCAUCGAGAGGUGGGCUGGACGUAUCACAAGUGCGAAUGCUGACAUAAGUAACGAUAAAACGGGUGAAAAACCCGUUCGCCGGAAGACCAAGGGUUCCUGUCCAACGUUAAUCGGGGCAGGGUGAGUCGGCUCCUAAGGCGAGGCUGAAAAGCGUAGUCGAUGGGAAACAGGUUAAUAUUCCUGUACUUGGUAAAGCUGCGAUGUGGGGACGGAGUAGGUUAGGUUAUCGCACUGUUGGAUAUGUGCGUUUAAGUUGGUAGGUGGGAAGUUUAGGCAAAUCCGGACUUCCUUAACACAGAGAGAUGAUGACGAGGCUCUACGGAGCUGAAGUAACUGAUACCACACUUCCAGGAAAAGCCACUAAGCGAAAGGCUUUACUAAACCGUACUGAAAACCGACACAGGUGGUCAGGUAGAGAAUACUCAGGCGCUUGAGAGAACUCGGGUGAAGGAACUAGGCAAAAUAGCACCGUAACUUCGGGAGAAGGUGCGCCGGCGUAGAUUGUAAGGGCUAGCCCCUGAAGGUUGAACCGGUCGAAGAUACCAGCUGGCUGCAACUGUUUAUUAAAAACACAGCACUCUGCAAACACGAAAGUGGACGUAUAGGGUGUGAUGCCUGCCCGGUGCUGGAAGGUUAAUUGAUGGUGUCAUCGAAAGAGAAGCACCUGAUCGAAGCCCCAGUAAACGGCGGCCGUAACUAUAACGGUCCUAAGGUAGCGAAAUUCCUUGUCGGGUAAGUUCCGACCUGCACGAAUGGCAUAAUGAUGGCCAGGCUGUCUCCACCCGAGACUCAGUGAAAUUGAAAUCGCCGUGAAGAUGCGGUGUACCCGCGGCUAGACGGAAAGACCCCGUGAACCUUUACUAUAGCUUGACACUGAACAUUGAAUUUUGAUGUGUAGGAUAGGUGGGAGCCUUUGAAGCAGUGACGCCAGUCAUUGUGGAGGCGACCUUGAAAUACCACCCUUUAACGUUUGAUGUUCUAACGAAGAUGACGAAACGUGGUCUCGGACAGUGUCUGGUGGGUAGUUUGACUGGGGCGGUCUCCUCCCAAAGCGUAACGGAGGAGCACGAAGGUUUGCUAAUCACGGUCGGACAUCGUGAGGUUAGUGCAAUGGUAUAAGCAAGCUUAACUGCGAGACAGACAAGUCGAGCAGGUACGAAAGUAGGUCAUAGUGAUCCGGUGGUUCUGAAUGGAAGGGCCAUCGCUCAACGGAUAAAAGGUACUCCGGGGAUAACAGGCUGAUACCGCCCAAGAGUUCAUAUCGACGGCGGUGUUUGGCACCUCGAUGUCGGCUCAUCACAUCCUGGGGCUGAAGUAGGUCCCAAGGGUAUGGCUGUUCGCCAUUUAAAGUGGUACGCGAGCUGGGUUUAGAACGUCGUGAGACAGUUCGGUCCCUAUCUGCCGUGGGCGUAGGAUGAUUGAUUGGGGCUGCUCCUAGUACGAGAGGACCGGAGUGGACGCAUCACUGGUGUUCCGGUUGUGUCGCCAGACGCAUUGCCGGGUAGCUAAAUGCGGAAGAGAUAAGUGCUGAAAGCAUCUAAGCACGAAACUUGCCAAGAGAUGAGUCAUCCCUGACUUUAAGUCAGUAAGGGUUGUUGUAGACUACGACGUAGAUAGGUUGGGUGUGUAAGUGAUGUGAGUCAUUGAGCUAACCAAUACUAAUUGCCCGAGAGGCUUAAC